rnacentral:ncRNA from 1 species
ACGAACCGUAGAAGCUUCGAGGCCCACCCCUAAGAUGGGCGCUCAAGCCGCGGGCGGAGCCAGUGGCACAACCAGCUACACCUCGC